UACUGCUGGCAUCGGCUCUCUAGGGAAAAGCUGCAAUUCUGCUGUUAAAACACAAGGAGCAGCCUGGAGAAUUUUGAGCUGCGUCACACAGCUUAGAGGGAGAGAGUGAGAGCCAGCUCUGUCGAUAGGUCUACUAGCAACAGCCUACUGCAGCAAGAGACAGAGAGAGAGAGAGAUCAUGCAAGAGAAGUAAUAACAACAUUGGGAAGCAUGGUUCCUUUUCAAUCUAGCAUUUUUUUUUUCUUUAAAGAAACAUUAUUUGGGAACUUGUUGAAGAAAAGUGGAUUUUGUCCACUGAUGGUACCGGAACGAUGUGACGCAAUUAAUCCCGCAAAGGUGGGGGGGUAGAUAUAGGAAGGGUUAAUGGGAGGAAAAUUCUGGAAUGUUCUGUGCUGCGGCAGAGCGAACAGAGGGUUGAGGACUGCACAGGUGUAGAUGAGCAGAGCUCAUGGUUCCUCUAUUAAAUACGCUUUAAUAGUCCCAGGAAGAAUGAACAAGCAUAGUCUUCUAUUCAGAAGGAAGGAGAAAUAACCAGGAAGCCAUAUCUGGAAAUGGACAUGAUACGUGAAAGGAGAAGACGGAUAGAUGUGACAGAUACCUACCUCCUCUGCUACUCUCUCAAACAUAACUUCAUUUUUUACUCUUCUUCUCCGUUGUCAAGUGUUAUGCCUAAUUUGAAAUUAUUCCAUUGGAAAUGUACCACCUUCAUUUCUCCUUCUCCCCAUUGAGAGUCCUUGCUUUGCAAAGCUGUCUCCUCCAGAGGCAGUCUUGCAUCCUGCGGUGCUAAUUCUGCAGAGGAGGUCCAUCAGAGGUCCAUCUGUGAUGGGAUACUCUCAGGCUGAGAUUUUGCUGCUGUUGUCACGAACAAAAAAAGAAUGCAUUGCCAUUUUCAUGAGAAAUGGAUUCUGUGCUUGCUUUGUUUAUAGGUUUGUUUUUUAAUUUCAUAGAAAGGUAAAUAUGUUCCUGCAAAUCUUACUAAGUUCAAAGGACUGAAAGGCUUAUAAAUAGGGUCUACUCAAGAAUUAGUGACUUCAGUGGUCUAAAACUUGGCAGGACAAGUUGAUGAUCCAUAGGAUUUCCUAGAUUCUC